UUGCUGCAGCAGCACAUACAUUAAAAUUGGAACUAUACAGAGAUUUGUAAGGCCCUUGGACAAGGAUGACAAACAAAUCCCUGAAGUGCUUCAUAUUAAA
rnacentral:snRNA from 1 species